rnacentral:rRNA from 1 species
AACAGGAUUAGAUACCCUGGUAGUCUCGGCCCUAAGCGAUGAUCACUAGGUGUCAGGGGGUUUCCCUUGGUGCCGCAGCUAUCGCAUUAAGUGAUCCGCCUGGGGACUACGGCCGCAAGGUUGAAACUCAAAGGAAUUGGCGGGGGCCCGCACAAGCGGUGGAGCAUAUGGCCUAAUUCGAUGCAACGCGAAGAACCUUACCCAGGCUUGACAUGUAACUGCAAGCUCCCCAAAAGGAGCCGCCUUCGAGGGUGUUACACAGGUGGUGCAUGGCUGUCGUCAGCUCGUGUUGUGAAAUGUUGGGUUAAGUCCCGCAACGAGCGCAACCCUCAUGUUAUGUUGCCAGCGAGUAGUGUCGGGAACUCAUAACAAACUGCCUAUGUAAAUAGGAGGAAGGUGGGGAUGACGUCAAGUCAUCAUGCCCCUUACGCCUGGGGCUGCACAUAUGCUACAAUGGAUGCUACAAACAGUUGCGAACCCGCGAGGGGAAGCUAAUCUGAAAAAAGUAUUCUCAGUUCGGAUUGGAGUCUGCAACUCGACUCCAUGAAGCCGGAAUCGCUAGUAACCGCAGGUCAGCAUUACUGCGGUGAAUACGUUCCCGGGCCUUGCACACACCGCCCGUCACGUGACGAAAGUUGGUUUUGCCCGAAGUCGUUGAGCUAACCGCAAGGAAGCAGACGCCGAAGGUAAAGCCGAUGAUUGGCGCGAAGUCGUAACAAGGUAACC